rnacentral:rRNA from 1 species
UACGUAGGGUGCAAGCGUUGUCCGGAAUUAUUGGGCGUAAAGAGCUCGUAGGCGGCCUGUCGCGUCGGCUGUGAAAACCCGGGGCUCAACCCCGGGCCUGCAGUCGGAUACGGGCAGGCUAGAGUCCGGCAGGGGAGACUGGAAUUCCUGGUGUAGCGGUGAAAUGCGCAGAUAUCAGGAGGAACACCGGUGGCGAAGGCGGGUCUCUGGGGCCGGAACUGGACGCUGAGGAGCGAAAGCGUGGGGAGCGAACAGG